UGCCCAGCAAAUCCUAUACCUACCUCCGCGUGGCAUCAGCCGAACUGCAAGCAACCUUAGGGAGGAUCGGGUAACCAAACCCGGUGAAAACUUUAGUCGUAGGCUGACAGGGAAGG
rnacentral:ribozyme from 1 species